GUAAACACAAAUAAGUGUUUUCUUUUUCUGUAACGUAGGAGUUGCGAGUUCCCAUGGACUGUACAGUAUCUCGACUGGUUGCUAAGAAGAAGAACGUCAAAGCAAGUGACACGUCUGUGGAGCUCCUCUCGCUCCGGCUUCUCUUCUUUUCUCCACCUUUUUUUUUUUGUGGAGAGAUUUAACAUGUAAAUCCUAAAGGAAACGACUUUCCGUGGAGUUUACUGGAGGUUUUCUUUCUUCUCCAAAGCAUGAACACUCAGGUUCUGACAGUCCUGCUGGUGCUGGUGAUGGUGUCGGUGUGUCUGAGCACCAGGUUCACCGUUCUCUUGGCCAUGCCCAACACCUCCACACCGUUCAGCGUGGGUCGCAUCGGAGCCGCGGCUCUCAUCGCUGUCGACACGGUGAACAACAGCACCAGGAUCCUGCCAGGUCACCAGCUGGACUUCCAUUACGUGGAUGAUGAGUGUGACGAUCUAGUGGGUCCGGGGAGGAUCGUCGCUCUGCAGCACAAACACAAGUACAGUGCGUUCAUCGGGCCGUGCUGCUCGAGAGUGUGCGCUGUAACGGCUAAGCUAGCGGCUUACUGGAACAUCGCUAUGGUCAGCCCCGUUUGUGCAGAUCAACAGUUUUUAGAUAAAAAGGCGUUUCCCACUCUGACGCGAGUGUUCGGACCUUUCACUAAGUUGGGAUCCUUCUUUGUAGAGAUCUGUAAGCAGUUCGGAUGGCGGCGGAUUAGCAUCGUUUAUAACAGAGAACUCACUUGGAACACUCCGGCUGAGGGCAUUCUGUACCAAGCAGAGAAUAAUAACAUCACAGUGGCAAAGUAUCUAGAGAUCGAUGGUCCUCCUACCCAUAAUUCCACUGUGCUCAAGUCGAGGGUUCUGACCGAGGUCUCCAGCUCGUCUCGCAUUGUAGUGAUCUCAGCUCAUGGCGAGGUGGUGCGCAGUUUAAUGAUCGAAGCUCACGCUCAAGGUCUGACCAGCGGAGAAUAUGUCUUCUUCUGCUUCAUGCCCUACAGUCAGGAUGAAAUGUUCGGUAGUUUCAAAUGGAAACAAGGAGAUGAGUAUGACUCUGUGGCGAAGCAGGCCUAUCAGGCACUUUUCAUCUUGUCCAUGUACAAACCUGAUGAUCAGCAGUACAGAGCGUUCUCUGAGAACGUCAUCAAGAGGUCAAAGCAGGACUUCGGAUACGUGUAUGAACCUCAUGAGCAGGUAUCGGUUCUGGCAGCUAUAGCUCAUGACAGCGUCUGGAUUUACGCUCAGGCUUUACAUGAAACGUUGAAUGAGAACUCUGACCCCUUUAACGGGUUCGAGGUCACGCGUCGGAUGUGGAACAGAACCAUCACUGGUAUCCAAGGAGACGUGAUGAUAGAUGCCAGUGGGGACCGUGAGCCGGCUUAUAUGCUGGAACACAUUCAGGGCAGUGACAGCCAGUGUCAGGUCAUUGCUAACUACUUUGGUAAGGUGUACGAGGCAGUAGAAGGAAUUCACAUCAUCUGGCCUGGAGGAAGGCAAAGUCCUCCUAAAGAUUCCCCUCCAUGUGGUUUUAAAGGAGAACGAUGCGCCAGCUCGGAGAGUAGAUUUUCGAUUGCAGUGGGUCUUAUCGUGGGAUUAAUGGCCAUAGGGAGUCUUUCGGUCACUGUUCUCUACAGGAAGUACAAACUGCAGCAGAAAGCCUCCAUGAUGCUGUGGAAGAUUGAUGUCGCCGAUGUCAUCAUGAUGGAGUCUCGCGGCUCGCCGGUGGCAGGAAAGACCCAGCUGCUGAGAUGCAAAUCCAUACAGGCUUCACUCGAGUCCAUAAUUUGCAGCAUGCAGGACAAAGCUUCAGCCCAGAGAACUGCAGUUUAUAACGGGACUGUUUGCUGCGUCCGCUUCCUGAGUGUGAGAAGUGUGCAUCUAAGCAGUGACCUGCUGACCGAGCUAAAACGGUGCAGAGAUUUGAGCCACCAGAACAUCUGCAAGUUCGUUGGAGCUUGUCUGGACUCACCACAGCCGGUUAUUCUGACUGAAUACUGCCCUAAAGGAAGUUUGCAGGACAUUUUAAAGAACGACUCCAUUAAACUUGACUGGAGCUUCAAAUGUUCCCUCAUGUUGGAUAUUGUAAAGGGCAUGGACUACCUUCACCACAGCCCCAUACAUUCCCACGGCCGCUUGUCCUCCUCCAACUGUGUGGUGGACAGUCGCUUCGUCCUCAAGGUCACUGACUUCGGCUUGAGCGAGCUGAGACAUGCCGACACAGUGGACCACUGGAGCUUGUGUGUUUUUCAUCCAGCGCUUUUAUGGAGAGCUCCUGAGAUCCUGAGGCAGACGGUGCGUGCUAACGGCACUCAGAAAGGAGACGUGUAUAGUUUUGGCAUCAUCGCGCAGGAAGUGGUGUAUCGCAGAGGACCUUUUUACAUCCCUAACAGCUCCCUUAAGGCCAGAGAGAUAGUGGAGCUGGUGAAGGAGGGCAGCUGCAGGCCGUUGCGGCCCCACGUGGACGCAUCCGAGUGUGAGGAUGGUGUGGAAGCUCUGUUACUAAGCUGCUGGAGUGAGAGAGAGUCAGAGAGGCCGGAUUUCUCCUCGCUCAGAACCACCGUAAAGAAAAUGUGCCCCAGCGGUGAGAACAUCAUGGAUGAUCUGUUGUCACGUCUGGAGCAGUAUGCGUGUAAUCUAGAGGAGGUGGUAAGCGACCGAACGGCUCAGCUGCAGGAAGAGAAAAAGAAAGCCGAGGCACUCCUUACCCAGAUGUUGCCACGAUCCGUCGCCGCACAGCUCAUAGCCGGGAGGACGGUGCGGGCCGAGACCUACGACUGCGUCACUGUUUAUUUCAGUGACAUUGAAGGCUUUACGGCCAUGUCGGCCUCCCUCACGCCCAUGCAGGUGGUGAACAUGCUGAAUGACUUGUACACGCAUUUUGACAACAUCAUCGACAACCACGACGUGUACAAGGUAGAAACGAUAGGCGACGCAUACAUGGUGGUGUCAGGGCUUCCGUUAAGAAAUGGAGACGAACACGCCAGAGAAGUAGCCAGAAUGUCCUUAGCCGUGGUGCAGGGCAUGGAGAACUUCGAGAGCGUACACGUUCCUCAACAGCGACUGAAGGUCCGCAUUGGAAUCCAUUCAGGCCCAUGUGUUGCCGGCGUCGUUGGUCUAAAAAUGCCACGCUACUGCUUAUUUGGAGACACUGUCAACACUGCCUCGAGGAUGGAGUCAUAUGGUUUACCGCUGAAGAUCCAUGUGAGCAGUUCUACUAAAUCUCUACUGGACACUUUUACAACAUUCCAGUGCGAGCUGAGAGGAGAUAUCCACAUUAAGGGAAAAGGUUUGGUUAGAACCUACUGGCUUCUGGGAGAGCGGCGCUGAAGAUACUCUAUAGUACUCUAUUGCUCUUCUUGAAUAGAAGGUUUACGUUUCUCCAAUAUCACACUUCACUGAGCAAAUUUCAAACUAAAUUGAUUUCCACACUGUAUCGUUUGUCUGCGGCUGCGGUUCUACCUGUGCUGAGGAAAAUGACAUUAUUGAUGUGUUGUUGAUUAAGUGCUAAUUUCACCCGCCAUGUAGCAGCGAGCAAACACAACCUCAUUAUGUUCAACACAAACAGAGUUUGAGAUGCGAAAAGGAACACGAUCAUUUGUUAAUGACUAGAAAACUUCAGUACCAUUUUUUUUUUAUUGUGAAUUUGUAAGGAAGAAAAGUUCAGGAAAUAUUUUUUUUCUUAAAAAGUGCUAUAUUCCUUGAGAUCUAUUGUUAAUUGUUAAUGCAAUAUAUUUUACAAUAGUUUAAUAAAACCUUAACUUAUAACCUGUUUCUCAUUCUUUUCUAUUUUGUAAUAGAAUCUUUUCUAGAAGAUAAUUAAUAUAUAUAAAUAUUUUUUUACCAGCAAUUUUUACUCUUAAAUAAAUUAAUUAAAUGUUUUUUCAUUGAAUAUAUAGUUUAUAUUUUAUUUGCCUGUGAAAUCCCAGUAAGGAUCAAAAUUUAAAACUUUCACAAAUCAAAAGCAUUUUCAAUCUCUAUCUGCACCGACCCCCCAAGCCCCACACCCAACACCGCCACCACCACAACCCACCAUUAAAAUCAGACAUAAAAUGACGGCCGGCGUCUCGUCUCUCAUCCAGCGUUUGGUAUUUAAUCGUCUGGACCUCAUGUUGCAAAUCACAUAUAAAGUUAGAAUAAAAAAGGCGAAUUUAUUAUUUUAUUUAUUUAUUUUUUUUGCCAACUCAAUUCAUCUCUGUCCAUAAUUCAAUUCAAUUCAGUAUUCUAUUAGAUUUAAUUUUAAUGACUAGCAAAUUAUUUUCUUUUAUCUUUUUCUCUAAAACUGAUUUGGAUUUGGAUGACUUUGGAUCUCAGGUCUAGUAUCUUCAUCCUCAUCCUCAUCUUCAUGCUCAUCUUCAGUACUGCAGUGUCUUACAGAUAAUAACAGACGAUUAUUAUUUUUUUUUUUUGCUUGUGAACAAAAAAGAAAAAAACAUCAAAUCAAUCUUUGCUUUUAAGCGUCUUAUCUCGCUGCUUUGUCAUGGAGACAGGAAACUAAGAUCUGUCUUAUCACACUUGAUCGGUUCUCAUCCCAAUAGUAAACGCUGUUGCCGUUAUCAUCCUCAGCCAUCAUUAAAUUACCAUUGAACAUUUUUAGUUUCACGGUAAACAAGUACCAAAACAAACCAAGGCACAGGACAAGAACUCAGAGGAAAGGACACAUUCUUUAUUCAGACGUACACAUUAUACAUCCCAUAACCGUGUGCUCCGGUACAUCUGAUCAAAUGUACGUUAUCAUCUUGUGCUGGUUAAUAUUAUGAACAGCAGCUACACUAAUUCCUCUUCACUUGCUUCUCUUUUUCUACCCAUCCCUAUGCAUCUAGACAUUGUACCAGCUCCAGUUGGAUGAAGAUUUCUGACCUUCAGUGAGAAGAUACCACCUCCAUGUGGUGUUUGAGGACAACAUCCUCCUAAUCAAUACGCAAUUGUUAUCACAGACUGUAUCUGACUGUAGAAAGGACAUGAUUCAUAAUAUCACUAUCUAGCAUUUAUAACAGGUUAUAAUCACAACCUACGGUGUCACCCAAAUGAGGAUGAGGUUCCACUUUUGUGUCUGGUUCCUCUCGAAGUUUCUUCCUUUACCAUUCAAAAAUUGUACCAGCUCAGAUUGUUUUCCGUGUUAUGAAGAUUUUGGACCUCCACUGA